CUUUCCUGCAUAAUGAAACACAUGCUUAUGACAAGAGCUAGGAGGAGCUUAUGGAACAGGAGAGAACAGUUUGUCUUUCCAGUGUGGUACAAGGCAGGGGAUUGUGGAAAAUGACAGAUCAUAACCUUGUUCUUUUUUUGGCAUCAGCUGCAGUGGACACUACUCAAAAAGAGCUAUCAAGGUUUCUGCACUUGAGCAUGUUCCUUCCAUGGCUGCUGGUGGUGCUUUCCUGUCUCCCUACAUUACUGGGCUACCUGCUAGGCCUGCUGGGGUCCCAGGACCAAUUCUCUCAGUUGAGGCAGGACAGCACUGGAAGAGAAGAUUUUUACUUGUUCCCAUCUUGACCAUGACAUCAUCCAAAGGCUUAUUUCCAAAUUAGGCACUACUAGUAGCUGGCCUGUAUAUGGACUUGAGUCUCAUUGCGAAGUUAGAGGACCCAGCUGUGGAGAAGAGGGGCAUAUGUUUUCCAAACAGCAGUCAAUCUGGGCUCCAACGAGAGGGCUGCCUUGAGAAGUUCACUGGUAUGAUUAUAUGGUUUCUGAUGUCCAGGUGCAGCUCUUCCUCUAGAUUUAUUAUCCAUGCAGUGUAUAAUUACAACAUGAUUUGGGAAAUGAAGCCCCUGUUGCAUAGUAAAAACACUCAUGAGAUGAUCAUUCUUGUAUAACUACAAGCACUAAAAGCAGCAAAUCCCAUGUGUGAACUCUGAUCACACCUAGCAGGCUGCUGAGAAAGAAACAGGUUGAGAUGCUGAUCUUGCGAGUGCCAGGGUAAAUAGAAUGUCUCCCUGCCUGCUCCAAGGUUUAAACUGGUAGCCUGCUUGAAUUUUGUUACACUCUCUGUGGUUUGUGGUUUAUUGCUUCCCGUGGUUUGUGAAAAGAGACACCGGGACUAACGAGUGA